rnacentral:ncRNA from 2 species
UGCUUAUCGAGAAAGACCGAGGGAAGGGCCCUAUGACGUCUUAGCAACCUGAUCAGACAAGGUGCUAACUCCCAUCCUGAGCUUGUCAGGAAAAGAUGAGCG